AGAGCGAACGCUGGCGGCAGGCCUAACACAUGCAAGUCGAACGGACUCUUCGGAGUUAGUGGCGGACGGGUGAGUAACACGUGGGAACGUGCCUUUUGGUUCGGAAUAGCUCCUGGAAACGGGUGGUAAUGCCGAAUGUGCCCUUCGGGGGAAAGAUUUAUCGCCAUUAGAGCGGCCCGCGUCUGAUUAGCUAGUUGGUGAGGUAAAGGCUCACCAAGGCUACGAUCAGUAGCUGGUCUGAGAGGAUGACCAGCCACAUUGGGACUGAGACACGGCCCAAACUCCUACGGGAGGCAGCAGUGGGGAAUCUUGCGCAAUGGGCGAAAGCCUGACGCAGCCAUGCCGCGUGAAUGAUGAAGGUCUAGGAUUGUAAAAUUCUUUCAGUAGGACGAUAAUGACGUACCUACAGAAGAAGCCCCGAUAACUUCGUGCCAGCAGCCGC
rnacentral:rRNA from 1 species